ACAAGCGUCCUCUCCUGCUGCCGUGUGAGAUAUGGCUGCUUCCCGUUCUGCCAUGAUGCGCUCUUCAAGGGUACCCGAAGCGAAUUUGCACCAAAGCAGCAGCUGCGUUGCUGCAGUUCUAUCUUCACCUUCACGAUGUUUCUCUUGGUCAAAAACACACUCAAGUCGUCUCCAAGUUCGAAGCAUUCAGCAAACAAUGGCAAGGCAGAGCUGUCAUACAGGUGUGGCUGUCAGAGGAGGACUGCUGGAUUGUGCCACGUGGAGCCAGGCAGAAGCCAUACACAGCUGGUUGCUACAGCAAGUGGAGCAGACCAAGUGUCCGGCUGCAGAAGAGGUGUCUAAUAGAAGGAGACAGCAGUGAGCAAAGCAGAGUGUGCCUCUGACCUCACGAAGCAGACACCCUAGUUGGGGGUGUGUGCUGGGAGUUUCCAAGACCACUCCCAGGUUCAAUGAUUCAUUAGGAGGACUCACAGGACUCAGUACGGCAGUGGUGCUCAUCACUAUGAUUUGUUAUGGUGAAAGGAUGCCAAACUAGAUCAGCAAAAGGAAAAGGCAUAUGGAGCGAAGUCCAGAGGAAACCAAGUGUAAGCAUCCAUGAGUCCUCUCCCAGUGGUCACACAGGACAGGCUUAAUUCCUCCAGCAAUGGAUUGUGACAAAACAUGUCAAAUGUGGCCAGAUGCUGUGGCUCACACCUGUAAUCCCAGCACUUUGAGAGGCCGAGGUGGGUGGAUCACCUGUCUUGGAUCAGGAGUUCAAGACCAGCCUGGCCAACAUGGUGAAACCCCGUCUCUACUAAAAAUACAAAAAUUAGCCGGGCAUGAUGGUGGGUGCCUGUAAUCCCAGCUACUCGGGAGGCUGAGGCAUGAGAAUCACUUGAACCCAGGAGGUGGAGGUUGCAGUGAGCUGAGAUCGCGCCAUUGCACUACAGCCUGGGUGACAGAGUGAGACUGUCUCUAGAAACAAAACAAAAAAUAUAUGUGAAAUGUUCUGUACCAGGGAAGCUCAUCAGAGAUCAGUGCCCAGGGCAUUGGGGGGCUGGUCACAUAGGUACCCUCUUCUUAGCACGGAAACUCUAGCCUCUCAGUAGGAAAGCAAGUGUUCAGCAUAAACCACAUUGUACAAACAGUUUGGAACAGUGAGUCACUUUUAACAGGAAAUGGGAACCCUCUGGAAUUCCAAAUUGUCUGAUGCCAGCCAAGGGCCAACCUCGUAAACAGGCCUUUUGAAGGACAGCAGUUAGGAGUGCUAGGUUAACUUUUUUUUUUUUCUGUACAGGGAGAUAGAUAAAAACAGACAGACAAGGAUACAUAUAAUGUAGUAGAUGGUCAGGGUAUCUGACAGCCCAUUUGUUGUUUUUGUGUAAAUUAGAGACUUGGCCUCCCUGAUGGCAAACAUGGCUGGUUCACAGUUUGUGGGCACUUGGUGAGUGUAAAAGAAAACUUCGUCCUGUCACUCUUCCCCUACCCCAGACCCAAUCCACACUCCCCUAUUUAGCAGUCCUGUAGAUGGUGGUAGGUGUUGUAAAGAAACAUACAGCAGGAGAAAGGAAUGGAAAAGGUCAGGAUGCAGAUGGCAUGGAUGGGGUUGCUAUUUUAUUCAGGGCUGUCAGGGAAGGCCUUGCUGAUGAGGAGACACUGGACAAAGGCUUGAAGGAAUGGAGUGAGCCAUGAGGCCGUCUGGAAGGACAUCCCAAGGAGAGGAAAUAGCACAUGAAAAGAACCCGAGGCGCAUGAGUUUUUGGCAGGGUCAAUGAACUGAAAGUAGUGCAAUGAGUUGGAGGGAAUGAGAACAGGAAAGGGUGGUAGAAGAUGGGAUCAGAGAAGUUGUAGGGGCCAGGUCAUAUGUUUGUUUAUGAGACCUAUUUAUUAUGUGGUGAAUUGGUUUUAGAGCAUAAUUUCAGACACCCCUUGUAAGUAUUAUUUUUAUGCAGGGACUUAGACCCACGAUCUUCCAAGCGUGUUAAGUGGCUUUCUGAGCUAAACCGUGUCUCAAUGGAUUCUUGAGUUCAAUGACCCCGGAGAGUUUUGAUGACUCUGCUAAGGCCAAGUUGUUCCACGACUGGAAAUCACCCAUGCUGGCUCUGUGUGAAAUUGCUACUUUUCAUUAAUGAGCCCAACCAUGUAACACCAUCAUGGCAUCAUUUCAGGGAGACUUUUCUAUGAUGGAAGCUAUUUACUUUAUGACCCAAGUUGUACCUUUAGCAAGGGGGACACAAGAGGCACACACAUCCUGGCGAAAAAAUUUGUAAAGAUUUUGACAUUGAUAGAAUCACAGGGUUUCUCUUGCAUUUAACUCACUUCUGCAAACAUUUAUAGAGUACUAUUCUAUGCAUUGUUGAGAUCAGUCUCAGUACAAGCCCCUGUUUAAUAUUUCUUUCUCACAGUUGGAACCAUUUGAUCCCAUCUUAGGCUCAGUCUUAUCUUCCACUCAGCAGGCCCAUCUUACACUGGAGAAACAGGACUUUGGUCCAGCUAUAACCCCAUAACCUUGAGCUUGACACCAGCAUACUCUGGCUGCUGAUUUAGCUCCACUGAGAUGUCCAGUUCUGGUUCUUAUGAGUCCCUGUGAACCUACUCUGUACCCUAUUAUGGCACCAAUUCUUCUGCCUUGGACCGUGUUCCUGCCUCAUCUCUUCUUUGUUCUGGACAGUCUCCUGUAUAUGGAGAAGACAUUUUUCCAGAAUUUCAUUCUGUUGGCUGAAAAUCACCUAUUUAUAACAAAUUCCCCAAUGCUAUCUGCAAGUUUUAUUUAGCAGUAUUGUGCUAACCUUGUAUUUCUGUGUUCUACCCACUUUAAGGUUCUGAGUUAUAAGGCUAGAUAGAUUAAAGUUAGAAUACCAGUUCUACCAUUACUAGCUAUGUGAUAUUGAGAACAUUCUUUAAGUUCUCUAAUCCUUGAUUUCUUUAUGUGUAAAAUGGAAAUAAUUAUGGUACCUGCUUGAUAUAAGGAUUAAGCAAAAUUAUUUUUGGAAAUGAGCACCCACAAUAAGUGCUCAAUAAGUGGUACUGUAUUCUUUCAUGUUUGGCAUAUUAACUGAUGUGUUUUGGGGAAUAUUAGGUUAAUAGUUAAAUUUUGCUUUAUGUAUUUGAAUGCAUGUUAUUAGUUGCAUACAAGUUUAGAAUUGUUGUAUCUUCCUGAUAGCAUUUUUUUUGCCUUAAUAUUUCUCAGUCUGACAGCUGUCUCUUUGUUGGGAUUUGUCUAGUUUUUUCAUUGUUUUAUUUUCAACCUUUUUUUAACCUCAUAAAUAGCAUAUAAUUGAGGUUUGUUUUUGUUUUUUUGUUUUUUGUUUUUUGUUUUUUUUUUGAGACAGGUUCUCACUCUGUUGCCUAGGCUGGAGUGGAGUGCAGUGCAGUGGUGCAAUUUUGGCUCACCACAACCUCCACCUCCUGGGUUCAAGUGAUUCUCAUGCCUCAGCCUCCCAAGUAGCUGGGACUACAGGUGUGCACCACUAUGCCUAGCUAAUUUUUAUAUUUUUAGUAAGACAGGAUUUUGCCAUUGUUGGCAGUUGGCCAGGCUGGUCUUAAACUUCUGACCUCAGGUGAUCCAUCUGCUUUGGCCUCCCAAAGUGCUGUGAUUACAGGUGUGAGCCACCAUAUCCAGUCAUGAUUGAGUUCUUAAUACAGUGUUAUAGUCUCUGUCUUUUAAUUGGAGAGUUUAGCCCAUUUACAUUGAUUUUGAUUUUUAAUUUUUUUUUUUUUUUGAGAUGAAGUCUCUCUCUGUCACCCAGGCUGGAGUGCAGUGGCACAGUCUUGGCUCACUGCAACCUCCGCCUCCUGGUUUCAAGUGAUUCUUGUGCCUCAGCCUCCCAAGUAGCUGGGAUUACAGGCUUGUGCCACCACGCCUAGCUAAUUUUGUAUUUUUAGUAGAGACAGAUUUCUCCAUGUUGGCCAGACUGGUCUCAAACUCCCCACCUCAGGUGAUCUGCCCGCCUUGGCCUCCCAGAAUGCUAGGAUUAUAGGUGUGAAUCACCAUGCCCAGCCUGGUUUUUAAUUUAUUUAGAUUCAUUUCUGCUGAUUUUAACUUUUCUGUGACCCACAUUUUCUAGGCUUUUUCUUUUAGUUUCUAUUUUCUUUUGCCUUAAGAUAUUUUUCUCCUUAUUUCACUUUUUUCUCCACUUGUUUAGAAUUUAUACUAAACUUAUUUUCUAUUUUUCUGGUUUCUCUAGAAAUAUAUGUGCAUUGUUAUAUUACAACACAUAAUUGUAUAAAUAUAUGUAAUAGUAUAUACUGUCAUAUAAUUGUACACAUAUAAGUAUAUAAUAUAUAAUGUAUGUAAGUUUAUAUAUUAUGUAUAUCAACAUUCUAAAGUUAAUUAACAAUUUUAUUUUUCUCCUGAACAAAGCAAGAGCCUUAGAAUACUUUAUGAUUACCUGCCUCCUGACUUGUUUGUUAUUGUUUUGUAUUUUAAUUCUUUCUUGAUUUCUUAACUUCACAUAUUGCAUGUCAUUGUGUCUUAUAAAAUCAAUGUUUGUUUAGAUUUCCCCAUAUAUUUACCAUUUAUUUGUUUCUAUUCCUUUUUGUAUCUGAAACCUUCUGAGAUCAUUUUCCUUCCUUGUGAAACAUGUCCUUGUUUGUUAAUAGACUAUUCUCUGUCUUUUUUCUCUCUACAAAUGCCUUUAUUUCACAUUUGUUGAUUGAAAUAUAGUUUUUUUCUUGAUACAGAAUUCUAAUCUGGUAGUUACUUUCAACACUUUGAAAAUAUUAAUCUAUUUUCUUGUGGCUUUCAUAGUUGCUACAAAGUCAGUUGUCAGUUUAAUUGCUCCUUUGUAGGUAAUAUCAUAUAUCCCUUUUCUCUGAAUUAAGAUUUCCUACUUAAUUCACUAAUUGCACAAGUAUUUGUUGAUGGUUAUCAUGCGCUAGGUACCCCCUCCCAUCAUGGAACCUACAUUCUAGGGUCUUUGGCAUUUUGAAGUUUGCCUCUGAUGUAUGAAGAUAUUGAUUUCUUUAAAUUUAUCCUGGUUAAGGCUUUCUUUGUUUCUUUGAAUCUUUGGUUUUAUGUCUUUUAUCAGUGCUGGUAUAAUCUUAAUCAUUUUGUUUUUAUUUCUUUAAAUAUAGUUUCUUCAUGAUUCUCCGCAUUUGUUCAUUUCUGAAUUGUUAUUUCUUGUCUUCUGCAAGCUUUGGGGUUGAUUUAUUCUUGCUUCUCUAAUUCUUUCGGUUGUGAAUUUAGGUUGUAAUUUUGAGAUCUUUCUAACUUUUUGAUGUGGGCAUUUAGUGCUGUGAAUUUCCCUCUUAAUAUUGCCUUAGCUGUGUCCCAGAGAUUCUAAUAUGUUGUAUCUUUGUUCUCAUUAUUUUCAAAGAGCUUUUUGAUUUUGCCUUAAUUUCAAUAUUUACCCAAAAGUCAUUCAGGAGUAUGCUGUUUAAUUUCCAUGUAAUCACAUGGUUUUGAGCGAUUUUCAUAGUUUUGACUUCUAUUUUUAUUGUGCUGUGCUCCGAGAGUUUGUUUGGUAUGAUUUUUGUUCUUUUAUGGUUGGUGAAGAUUGUUUUAUGUCUAAUUAUUUGGUAAAUUUUAGAGUAUGUGGCAUGUAGUGAUGAGAAGAAUGUAUACAUUGUUGUUAGGUCCUUAAUAUCUUUGUUAAUUUUCUGCCUUGAUUGAUGAUCUGUCUAAUACUGUCAGUGGAGUGCUGAAGUCUCCCACUACUAUUGUGUGAGAAUCUAUGUCUCUUCAUAGGUCUCUAAGAACUUGCUUUAUGAAUCUGGGUGGUCCUGUGUUGGAUGCAUAUAUAUUUAGAAUAGUUGGAUCUCCUUGUUGAAUUGAACCCUUUGGCAUUCUGUAAUGCCCUCCUUGGUCUUUUUUGAUCUUUGUUGGUUAAAAUCUGUUUUGCCUGAAAUUAGGAUUGUAACCCCUGCUUUUUUCUGUUUUCAUUUGUUUGGUAGAUUUUCCUCCAUCCCUUUAUUUUGAGCUCAUGAGUGUCAUUACAUGCGAGAUGGGUCUUUUGAAGACAGCAUACCAUUGGGUCUUGCUGUUUUAUACAGCUUGACACUCUGUGCCUUUUAAGUGGGGCAUUUAGCUUGUUUAUAUUCAAGUUUAAUAUUGAUAUUUGUGGAUUUGAUCCUGUCAUUGUGCUGUUAGCUGGUUAUUAUGUUGGCUUGUUUGUGUGGUUGCUUUAAAGUGACACUAGUCUGUGUGUUUAAGAGUGUUGUGUUAGUUGGUAGCAGUCUUUCCUCUGUAUUUCAUGCUCCUUUCAAGAUCUCCUGUAAGGCAGGUCUUGUGUUAAUGAAUUCUCUCAACAUUUGCUUAUCUGAAAAGGAUCUUAUCUGUCCUUCACUUAGGAAGCUUAGUUUGGCUAAAUAUGAAAUUCUUGGUUGAAGAUUUUUUUUCUUUAAGAAUGUUGAAUAUAGGCCCUCAAUCUCUUCUGGCUUAUAAGGUUUCAGCUGAGAGGUCUUGCUGUUAGCCUGAUGGCAUUCCCUUUGCAGGUGACCUGCCCCCUUUCUCUCUAGCUGCCUUUAACAUUCUUUCUUUCAUUCUGGCCUUGACAAAUCUGACAAUUAUGUGUCUUGGGGAUGAUUUUCUUGUGUAGAAUCUUGCAGUAGCUCUCUAUAUUUCCUGAAUUUGACUGUUAGCCCCUCUAGCAAGGUUGGGAAAGUUUUCAUGGAAGAUAUCCUGAAAUAUGUUUUCCAAGUUGUUUGCUUUCUCCUCCACCCUUUCAGCAUUGCUUACGAUUCAUGGAUUUGGCCUCUUUACAUAAUCCCAUACUUCUCAGAGAUUUUGUUCAUUUCUUUUUAUUCCGUAUACUUUAUUUUUGUCUGACUGUCUUAUUUCAGAGAACCAGCCUUCAAGUUCUGAGAUUCUUUCCUCAGCUUGGUUUAUUCUGCUGUUAAUACUUGUGAUUGCAUUGUGAAAUUCUUGUAUUAUGUUAUUGAGCUCUGUCAGACCUGUUAGGUUCUUUUUUAUAUUGAUUAUUUCGUCCUUCAGCUCCUGUUUCACUUUAUUGUGAUUCUUAUCUUGGAUUGAGUUUUGCCAUCCUGAAUCUUGAUGAUCUUUGUUCCUAUCCAUAUUCUGAAUUCUUCUGUAAUUCUAGUCAGUUCGGUCUGGUUAAGAACUCUUGUUGGAGAACUGGUGCAGCCAUUCGGAGGACAUACAACACUCUGGUCAUUUGAAUUACUGGAGUUCUUGCAUUGGUUCAUUUUCACCUCUGCGUGUGGGUGUUCCUUUAACUGCAGUGUAGAUUGAGUACAGUCAAUAGACUUCUUUUCUGGAUGUUUUCACUGGGCUGAGGUUUUGUGCAGGAUCUUUAUUUGAAGCCGUCUUCUUGCCUCUGGUUUCAGGGGUGUCUGUUAGUGAGGUAUUUUUGGUGUGGAAGCUUUGGGGUGUGGUUCAGCAGGUGACACUUAAGCUUAUUGGUCAGUUGGUAAACUCUCACUCAAUUAUGUAGCUCCCCUGUGUUUCCUUGCAGUUGCAGUCAUUUUCCCUCUCAAUGCUCUGAAGGUGUGGGUUUCUCUCUCCCUUGAGUGCUGGCUGUAGGUUGUGACUUGGCACUCCUGGGCUGCCUGCUGCAGCUCUGGGGUGAUCUCAGUGUUUAUGUUUCUUCCCCAACUUGGAGGCAGCAGAGGAAGGGAUCUUAGUAGUACUUGUGGCCAAAGGUCAUUUGCUUGUCUCCUGGGGGCUCCUCCUCAGAGAGAUGCUGUUCAGUAAUCAUCAGUGCAGUCAACCCUGGAUGGAGGGUCUGUGCUGUGGACCCAAGCCAGGGGUUCCCUGUGUGGUGAUGAGCAGUUGGGGAUGUGCGGUACUCAUGGGAAGUGGACUGGCCUCCUCUCCUUGGGUCGAUUGCAGCUGGUUGGAGGUGUGGAUAAAGCACUUAGGGUGUUUGCUCCUUCAUUAGUCCAAGGGUAGCAAGGGCAGUUCCACUGCAGAGGCAGUGGUGGAGAGGCUUUCACUUGCCCCUGGAGGCUCUGUCCAGGAAGUUGUUGAGUUGCUACUGGUUUGAUAGCUCUGCGGGGGGCUGGGGAGGAGGUGGCUGGAGGCUGAGGCCUGGAGGAUCUGCCUGGUGAGUUAUCUAUUCUUUAUUUCUCUGCUUCUUCCUUUUUGAGUUUUAUUGGAUGAAAUGAGUAAUUUUUGUUAUUCAAUUUAAUUUCCCAUAUUAACUUUUUAGAUAUAAUAGUUUUUUGUUGGGGGGAUUGUUCUAGAGAUUAUAAUAUGUAUCUUUAACUCAUCACUGUACCUUCAAAGGAUAUUAUACUGUUUGAAAAACAAUGUAAGAACCUUAAAACAAUACAAUUAUUUUUAUCCCUUUCUUGCCUUUUGUGCUCUUGUUAUAUAUUUUUCCUCUCUGUAUAUUCUAAAUCCCACAAUAAAUAGUUAUUGUGCCUUAAACAGUCUUUUAAAAUAAUUUAAAAUAUAUAAUAUGUAAAACAAAUAUAAUUAAAAUAACACAUAAAUAUUUACCUUGAUGUUUAUUAUUCUUAUGUCUCUAUUCCUUUCCACAUCUGAUUUCAUUUGCCUUUCAGCUUGAAGAACUUGUUUCAGCAUUACUUAUAGUGCAAGUCUGCUGGAGACAAAUACUCUUAGUUUUUUGCUUGUCUAAAAAUGUUUUCAUUUCACUUUUGUUUUUGAAGGGUAUUUUCAUUAGAUACAGACAUCUUGAUUGACUUGGUUGACAGUUUUUUUUUCCUUCCAGCACUAUAAAAAUGCAGUUCCACUGUUUUCUGGCUACCUUGGUUUCCACUGUGACAUUAGCUGUCAUUCUUACGAAUUGUCUAUAUAUGAUGUGACAUUUUUCUCUCUUUAAGAUACUGAUAUUUUUAUACUCUAUCAAAUUUUAAAGAUAUCGUCUUUAUCCUUUCAGCAGUUUGACCAUAAUGUGCUCCACUGAAGAUUUGUUUGUAUUUAUUCUGAUUAGAAUUCACUGUUUUUCUUGGAUCUGUGGCCUAUAAUAAACUUUUGAAUUUCAUAUGGAGAUGAAGUUUAAAACGAAAUUUAAAAAAUUUAAACUUUGAUUAACUCACCAAUCAUCACAUAAAUUUUCCACUCUUCUCAAUAUAUUGAAAAAAAUGCAUUAUGAUUUAAAACUUUUCCAACUAUGGCAGAGAUACAAAUCUUCUGGAAUUAAGAAAGAGAGACUAGUCAGUGAAGAUUGGGGUUUAGAUGUCUAGUCCCUAGAAAGACCUCUACCUGUACUUUCUUUCUAGGGAAGAAUAAAAGGGAAAUAGUGGUGACAACAGAAUUUCCCAAUUAGCGGUGCCUCAUAGUAGAGGAAACAUGUGCCCUUUUUCCUGCAUAAGGCUUUAGAACGUGGCAAGAUCCAUAAUUCUCCUCUGCCCUAUUUUGGUCUGAGGAAUUGAAUAGAACUGAUUUCAGGUGUCUAGACAGAGAUUACUGCAUGAGCCUCAUAAAAUUCCUGGAAAGCGGAGGAAUGACUUUUUUUUUUGGAACCCAGUUGUAGCACUGAUGUCAAGAAAAGCCUUAGUCAUCCUCAGAGAGCUUGAUGAAGGACCUGAGUGGAAGUUAGCUGUGACAAAGCUUGGAGGCUUUGCUGUUGGGACAAAGACACACAGUAGUACAGACUCUUUGAAGAUGUCAAGUGGCCAGAAGGUAAUGACUGAGGAUCAGAUUCUGCUCUCUAUACUCUGUACUUUGACAUUACUAAAUUUUUGAGAAUUUAGAUAAUCCUUAGUAGGGAAGUAGAUCAGAAACUGAGUGAAGUUCAGUUUUUGCCCCCAAGCAAAAUGAAGUUUAAGAAAGUAGUUAAAUUCAGUGAUGGUGGGCUGGGUGUGGUGGCUCGUGCCUGUAAUCCUGGCACUUUAGGAGGCCAAGCAAGGCAGAUCACCUGAGGUCAGGAGUUCAAGACCAGCCUGGCCAACAUUAUGAAACACUGUCUCUACUAAAAAUACAAAAACAAUUAGCUAGGCAUGGUUGCCUGUGCCUGUAAUCCCAGCUACUUGGGAGGCUGAGGUGGGAGAAUCGUCUGAGCCUGGAAGGCAGAGGUUGCAGUGAGCUGAGAUUGCGCCACUGCACUCAAGCCUAGGUGACAGAGCAAGACUCUGUCUCAAAAAAAUAAAAUAAGGCUGGGCGCACUGGCUCACACCUGUAAUCCCAGCACUUUGGGAGGCUGAGGCGGGCCGAUCACGAGGUCAGGAGUUCGAGAUCAGCCUGGCCAAUAUGGUGAAACCCUGUCUCUAUUAAAAAUACAAAAAUUAGCUGGGUGUGGUGGCACACGCCUAUAAUCCCAGCUACUUGGGAGGCUGAGGCAGGAGAAUCGCUUGAACCUGGCAGGUGGAGGUUGCAGUGAGCCAAGAUUGUGCCACUGCACUUCAGCCUGGGCAACAGAGUGAGACUCUAUCUCAA
rnacentral:lncRNA from 1 species